CUAUUCUACAAGUACUCUGCACCUUCUUUCUUCUAUUCUACAAGUACUCUGCUCACAGACAAACACAUACACACACACACACUCACAUUGAAACACAUACACACAAAUAUACACAUACUCACACAUGCACUUACAGACACUCACACAUACACAGACAGACCCACAGACACACACACACUUACUGACACACACACAUACACUUACAGACACACUUACAGACACAGACACACACACACACACACACAUACACUUACAGACACACACACAUACACUUACAGACACACACACACAUACACUUAGAGACAAACACAUAUACACACAAAUUAUUAAUAUUAAAUAUCCACCCAGCCUCCCUACCUGGAGAGCUGGUGUGG